rnacentral:rRNA from 1 species
UACGGGGGGAGCAAGCGUUGUUCGGAUUUACUGGGCGUAAAGGGCGCGUAGGCGGCCACAACAAGUCACUUGUGAAAUCUCCGGGCUUAACUCGGAACGGUCAAGUGAUACUGUUGGGUUAGAGUGCGGAAGGGGCAACUGGAAUUCUCGGUGUAGCGGUGAAAUGCGUAGAUAUCGAGAGGAACACCUGCGGCGAAGGCGGGUUGCUGGGCCGACACUGACGCUGAGGCGCGAAAGCUAGGGGGGCGAACGGG